rnacentral:rRNA from 1 species
UACGUAGGGGGCAAGCGUUGUCCGGAAUCAUUGGGCGUAAAGAGCGCGUAGGCGGUCCGGUAAGUCCGCUCUGAAAGUCCGGGGCUCAACCCCGGGAGGCGGGCGGAUACUGUCGGGCUAGAGUCCGGAAGAGGCGAGUGGAAUUCCUGGUGUAGCGGUGAAAUGCGCAGAUAUCAGGAGGAACACCAAUGGCGAAGGCAGCUCGCUGGGACGGUACUGACGCUGAGGCGCGAAAGCGUGGGGGGCAAACAGG